UAAUUUGGAAAUAAGAGUGAAAUCCGGGAAAUGAACAACCGGAUUUCUUAGCGGCAAUUUGAUUCCUUCUGCUUCAUCCGAUGUGAUAGAGGCAGAUUUGAUAUAUGUAAAUGCAGUGAAAGCCCAAGCAGUCGUUGUUUGCGACAACGGCACCGGCUACGUAAAAUGUGGUUUCGCCGGAGAAAAUUUUCCAACAUCGGUGUUUCCGUGCGUGUUAGGGAGACCUAUGUUACGGUACGAGGAAUCUCUCAUGUAACAAGAGUUGAAGGAUAUUGUUGUUGGAGAAGCAUGUGCUGAUUUGAGACAUCAAUUGGAUAUAUCAUAUCCGGUUACUAAUGGAAUUGUGCAGAAUUGGGAUGAUAUGUACCAUGUUUGGGAUCACGCCUUCUACAAUGAAUUAAAGGUCUUCUUGCCUUUUUUUUUUUUUGGUUUGGGCCUCAUUCAUGCUAUUUAUUUAUUGUAUUGGUCUUGAUUAUGUUUUAUGUUGUUUGUAAGCAGAUUAAUCCUACUGAAUGCA